UACAGAGACCUCAAGCGUUAUCCGGAAUCAUUGGGCGUAAAGCGUACCGAUAGGUGGUUUUAUUAGUCUUGGGUAAAAGCCAGAAGCUCAACUUCUGAGUUUGCUUAAGAUACUGUAAAACUAGAGGGGCAAAGAGGAGAUUGGAACGAACGGUGUAGUAGUGAAAUGCGUUGAUAUCGUUCGAACACCGAAAGCGAAGGCAGAUCUCUGGGUGCCACCUGACACUGCUAGGACGAAAGCGUGGGGAGCGAAUGGG
rnacentral:rRNA from 1 species